rnacentral:rRNA from 1 species
AUUGAACGCUGGCGGCAUGCCUUACACAUGCAAGUCGAACGGUAACGGGCCUUCGGGUGCCGACGAGUGGCGAACGGGUGAGUAAUACAUCGGAACGUGCCCGAUCGUGGGGGAUAACGAGGCGAAAGCUUUGCUAAUACCGCAUACGAUCUACGGAUGAAAGCAGGGGACCGCAGGGCCUUGCGCGGACGGAGCGGCCGAUGGCAGAUUAGGUAGUUGGUGGGAUAAAAGCUUACCAAGCUGACGAUCUGUAGCUGGUCUGAGAGGAUGAUCAGCCACACUGGGACUGAGACACGGCCCAGACUCCUACGGGAGGCAGCAGUGGGGAAUUUUGGACAAUGGGCGCAAGCCUGAUCCAGCCAUGCCGCGUGCAGGAUGAAGGCCUUCGGGUUGUAAACUGCUUUUGUACGGAACGAAAAGCCUUCUUUUAAUACAGGAGGGUCAUGACGGUACCGUAAGAAUAAGCACCGGCUAACUACGUG